CCGCGGCCAGCCGCGCCUGCCUGGAGCCCCCUGGCCAGCGACCGGCCGCUGGGGCCGAGUAUUGUCCUAACGACCGAAAGGAGAGGAAAGCGGGGAGAUUGGGGGGACAGCCACGUGGCCGGGAGAGGAUUUACAAUAUUUUCUUUCGCUGUCGACAAUAUUGCAAAAUGUGGGGAAGGGACCGCACGGCCAGGACAGGAGCGUGAGCGCGCGGGCAAGACAGGUUCUCGAAACGCCCGCGCUGUGCCCGCCGGAGCCUGGGUCUCUCCAUGUCACCUGGGAGGAAUCUGAGGGGCAGAGGCCAGCUUGCCGACACACGACAGUCGCUGAGGGGACUCAAACCCGGUCUGGUCCAAGCCGGGAGCCCAGCUCCUUCCCUCCUUCACUUCUGCCUCAGUGAAGAGAAAGGCGUGGUAGUGCUGGCUGCAGAUGGGACUUGGGGGUGGGGGGUAGGCAGGAUUGGGACUCCGGAUCUGCCUCCCACUGGCUGUCCGUGGCUCUGGGUGGCCCCUCAGCACCAGAUGUAAGUGUCACCAACGCAGGACCUGAACCUCUUUUGGGGCAGACGGUAGACACAAUGAAUAAAGGAUGGGUAGAAUUUCCCCAGAAAACCACAAGGAGGAAAAAAAACAACCUCCACCAGCGUUUCCCCCCUACCGGAAAUCUGAUGGGCUUAUGACAUCAUGGCUGGCUGCUGAGCGAUGAAGUGGAUGCCACAAAGAAAUCCGACAUAUCAGAUGGAUUCUGAAAUCAGUUUCCCUCUGGCUGCAGUAACAGGCGUGAAGUCAGGAGCAUGUGAGCUUUGUCUAAGAAACAAAAAAAAAAAAAAAAGAAAGAAAACUAAGCCUUGUCCUGUAUUAAAUACGAUUUUUUUUUUGAAGCAAAGAGACCUUUUGGACAUCAUCCUAUUUUAAUAGAGAUGCUGGCGUUUGUGAAAUGAAAGCGGCUAAUAAAUCAGACCUGCAGCUGCCUUUGAACGUUCCCUUUUGGCUGAGUUUUUGUGUGUCGUUCUUCACCAAUAAAAGAGGAACUGGGGGUGGUUUAUCUCCCUUCGGUAUUCAAAUGGAGUCGAUUUGGGGGGUGUGUUUGUUUGUUUUGAGGCCAAUAAAAUUCAUCAGGUAAA